rnacentral:rRNA from 1 species
GGAUGCGAUCAUACCAGCACUAAAGCAUCGGAUCCCAUCAGAACUCCGAAGUUAAGCGUGCUUGGGCGAGAGUAGUAUUAGGAUGGGUGACCUCCUGGGAAGUCCUCGUGUUGCAUUCC